rnacentral:rRNA from 1 species
GAUAUGAACCGUUAUAACCGGCGAUACCCGAAUGGGGAAACCCAGUGUGUUUCGACACACUAUCAUGUCAUGAAUACAUAGUGGCAUGAGGCGAACCGGGGGAACUGAAACAUCUAAGUACCCCGAGGAAAAGAAAUCAACCGAGAUUCCCCCAGUAGCGGCGAGCGAACGGGGAGGAGCCCAGAACCUGAAUCGGCUUGUGUGUUAGUGGAAGCGUCUGGAAAGUCGCGCAGCAAAGGGUGAUAGCCCCGUACACUAAAAUGCACAGGUCGUGAGUUCGAUGAGUAGGGCGGGACACGUGACAUCCUGUCUGAAUAUGGGGGGACCAUCCUCCAAGGCUAAAUACUCCUGACUGACCGAUAGUGAACCAGUACCGUGAGGGAAAGGCGAAAAGAACCCCGGCGAGGGGAGUGAAAUAGAACCUGAAACCGUGUACGUACAAGCAGUGGGAGCACCUUCGUGGUGUGACUGCGUACCUUUUGUAUAAUGGGUCAGCGACUUAUAUUUUGUAGCAAGGUUAACCGUAUAGGGGAGCCGUAGGGA